CCUACGGGUGGCAGCAGUCGAGAAUUUUUGGCAAUGGGCGAAAGCCUGACCAAGCGAUGCCGCGUGCGGGAUGAAGGCCUUCGGGUUGUCAACCGCUGUCAGUGGGGAGGAAAGCUUUGUGAAGAGCAAGGCUUGACCUAUCCGCAGAGGAAGUGUGGGCUAAGUUCGUGCCAGCAGCCGCGGUAAGCCGAACCACACAAACGUUAUUCGUGAUUACAAGGCUGAAAGGGCGCGGCAGCUGCGCAGGUGUGAAAUACCUCGGCUCAACCGAGGAACUGCGCCCAAAACUACUGUGCUUGAGGAAGAUAGAGGUAAGCGGAACUUACGGUGGAGCGGUGAAAUGCGUUGAUAUCGUAAGGAACACCUGUGGCGAAAGCGGCUUACUGGGUCUUUUCUGACGCUGAUGCACGAAAGCUAGGGGAGCAAACGGGAUUAGAUACCCCGGUAGUC
rnacentral:rRNA from 1 species